ACUGAACAGAGGCACAGAAGAAGCCCCUACAGGCAGGGGUUUUUGUGUCUGUGUUUCUGGGAGAGUAUGUCUCGUACAUUUGUCGCGUUGAUGAAGACUUCACAGCUCCAUCAGCUGCGGGCAAGGGGGUUUGAGGCAGUCUUAGAGCCGCCGUCUAGCG
rnacentral:sRNA from 1 species